GAUGAACGCUGCCGGCGUGCGUAACACAUGCAAGUUGAACGACGGUGCCAUGAAGUGGUAACACGGAGUGGUAUACGGAGUAGCGGACGGGUGAGUAAAGCAUGAGAAUCUGUCCUGUCGAGGGGGAUAACGUUCGGAAACGGACCCUAAUACCCCAUAGUCCGAGAGGUUAAAGGCAGCGAUGCGCGGCAGGAGGAGCUCGUGUCCUAUCAGCUGGUUGGUGAGGUAACGGCUCACCAAGGCUUCGACGGGUAGCCGGCCUGAGAGGGUGACCGGCCACACUGGAACUGAGAAACGGUCCAGACUCCUACGGGAGGCAGCAGUGGGGAAUAUUGGGCAAUGGGAGGAAUCCUGACCCAGCGACGCCGCGUGAACGAAGACGGCCUUCGGGUUGUAAAGUUCUUUUAUGUGGGAAGAAUGAAGUGACGGUACCACAUGAAUAGCCCGGCUAAU
rnacentral:rRNA from 1 species